rnacentral:tmRNA from 1 species
ACNNGAUUCGACGGGAGUAUUGAGGCCAAAGUUGCAUGCACGGGAUGCCGUUGGCCCGUGAAAAAACGGCAUAAAUCAUAAUUGCCAACGAUUAUGAUCUUGCUGUAGCUGCGUAAAUAAACCCAGCUACCGUUCUCUAUUCUUCUGUCCGUGAGGUUUAGAAGAACGUCAUUUUAACGGACGAGCUUCGUGCCCAGCGUCUCGGGGGCACGCGGUGAUCGAGAGACUGGUUCGGGUGGUAUCCUGUUCGUGGGAGUAGCCCGGACGAGAUCCAAAUCGCGAACUAAGCAUGUAGACGCUUUGCGUUGAAGACUUUCGGACGGGGGUUCAAUUCCCCCCGCCUCCACCA